rnacentral:snoRNA from 18 species
CUUUGCAACGGCAUUUAUAACGAAAAAGUAAAUUGAGGCUGCUAAAACACAGGGCUGCACAGCAUCCUUGCACCUGCGUAGCCGAUAGACGCAUUUGGCUGUUUAUCUAGGAUCUGCGUGGGUCUGAACAGGCACGGUCAAACAGU